UACGAAGGGUGCAACCGUUGCUCGGAAUCAUUGGGCGUAAAGCGCACGUAGGCGGCCUCAAAAGUCGGAUGUGAAAUCCCGUGGCUCAACCAUGGACGUGCAUUCGAAACUGCGAGGCUUGAGUAUGGAAGAGGGUCGCGGAAUUCCCGGUGUAGAGGUGAAAUUCGUAGAUAUCGGGAGGAACACCAGUGGCGAAGGCGGCGACCUGGGCCAAUACUGACGCUGAGGAGCGAAAGCGUGGGGAGCGAACAGG
rnacentral:rRNA from 1 species